AUGCUUCUUCAAGGCGACGAAUCAGGUUAUGCAAACUGUUUUGAUUUUUGCUUUGCAUCUUUUAUUCCUACCGAAGCAUUCCGUCGCAGCAGAUUUGUUAUAAAAGGAAUGGCAGGUGGAUUUGAUAAAGUUAGGAUCAACUUGUAUUGGUUUGAAAUUAGGCUCAUCAUAAAUCCUGUUAGCAAUGCUGUUUUGAAUUCAGAGGAGUCAGGAAUGAGCUAA